rnacentral:rRNA from 1 species
UACGUAGGUGACAAGCGUUGUCCGGAUUUACUGGGCGUAAAGAGCGCGCAGGCGGUCGAUCAAGUCGAGUGUGAAAGCCCCCGGCUUAACUGGGGAGGGUCAUUCGAUACUGAUCGACUCGAAGGCAGGAGAGGGUAGUGGAAUUCCCGGUGUAGUGGUGAAAUGCGUAGAUAUCAGGAGGAACACCGGUGGCGAAGGCGGGUCUCUGGGCCGAUACUGACGCUGAGGAGCGAAAGCGUGGGGAGCGAACAGG